GUGCUUGCUUUGGCAAUACACACACUAAAGCUGGAAUGAUACAGAAAAGAUUAGCAUAGCCCUUGUGGAAGAAUGACAAGAAAAUUUGUGGGGGGAAAAAAUGACUUUU